rnacentral:rRNA from 1 species
ACGGGGCCCGCACAAGCGGAGGAACAUGUGGUUUAAUUCGAUGAUACGCGAGGAACCUUACCUGGGCUUAAAUGUAGAGUGCAUUUUUUUAGAGAUAGAAAUUCCCUUCGGGGCUUUCUGCAAGGUGCUGCAUGGUUGUCGUCAGCUCGUGCCGUGAGGUGUCGGGUUAAGUCCCAUAACGAGCGCAACCCUUAUCGUUAGUUGCCAGCUGGUAAAGCAGGGGACUCUAGCGAAACUGCCACCGUAAGGUGAGAGGAAGGUGGGGAUGACGUCAAAUCAGCACGGCCCUUAUGUCCAGGGCUACACACGUGUUACAAUGGCCGGCACAGAGGGCAGCUACCUGGUGACAGGAUGCUAAUCUCGAAAACCGGUCUCAGUUCGGAUCGAAGUCUGCAACUCGACUUCGUGAAGCUGGAUUCGCUAGUAAUCGCGCAUCAGCCAUGGCGCGGUGAAUACGUUCCCGGGCCUU